rnacentral:rRNA from 1 species
GGGGGGGGGGGGGGGGGGGGGGGGGGGGGGGGGGGGGGGGGGGGAGGGGGGGCUGUGGUGGGGUGCUCGGGUGGCGGGGGGGGGGGUGAGAAGGGAGUAGCCGGCCCUUGGCUGUGGGAUAAGUUGAGGCCGGUGGGGCUAAUACCGGAUAGUGGCUCCUUCUUCAUGGUUGGGGGUGGACCGUUUCGGCGGUGUGGGAUGGACUCGCGGCUGAUCAGCUUGUUGGUGGGGUAGUGGCUUACCAAGGCUUUGACGGGUAGCCGGCCUGAGAGGGUGACCGGCCACAGUGGGACUGAGAUACGGACCAGACUACGACGGGAGGCAACAGUGGGGAAUAUUGCACAAUGGGCGGAAGCCUGAUGCAGCAACGCCGCGUGCGGGAUGACGGCCGUCGGGGUGUAAACCGCUUUCGCCUGUGACGAAGCGUGAGUGACGGUAAUGGGUAAAGAAGCACCGGCUAACUACGU